rnacentral:rRNA from 1 species
GACGAACGCUGGCGGCGUGCCUAAUACAUGCAAGUAGAACGCACAGUUUAUACGGUCGCUUGCUUCACCAUAAACUGUGAGUUGCGAACGAGUGAGUAACGCGUAGGUAACCUGCCUGGGAGCGGGGGAUAACUAUUGGAAACGAUAGCUAAUACCGCAUAAUAUUGAUUAUUGCAUGAUAAUUGAUUGAAAGCUGCUAUUGCAUCACUACCAGAUGGACCUGAAGUGUAUUAGCUAGUAGGUGAGGUAACGGCUCAACUAGUCGGCGAUACAUAGCCGAGCUGGGAGGGUGAUCGGCCACCAUGGGACUGAGACACGGCCCAGACCUCUACGGGAGGGAGCAGGAGGGAAACUUUGGACAUGGAGGAAAGGCUGACCGAGGAACGCCGCGGGAGUGAAGAAGGGCUUCGGAUCGUAAAGCUCUGUUGUAAGAGAAGAACGGGUGUGAGAGUGGAAAGCUCACACUGUGACGGUAUCUUAACAGAAAGAGACGGCUAACUACGUG